rnacentral:rRNA from 1 species
UCUUUUUCAACGGCCGCGGUAUUCUAACCGUGCAAAGGUAGCGCAAUCACUUGCCCCUUAAAUGAGGGCUAGUAUGAACGGUUUAAUGAGGGCCUAACUGUCUCCUGCAGCCGGUCAAUGAAAUUGAUAACCCAGUACAAACGCUGAAAUAAACCCACAAGACGAGAAGACCCUGUGGAACUUUCAACUUUCCCUGCUAGCAGUCAUCAAUAACCAUACCAACCCUAACAGCCAGUUUAAGUUGGGGCAACUACGGAGAAUAACAAAACCUCCAUGACAUACAAGUAAUACUUGUCACCAAGGCCUACACGCCUACUCACCAACGUUUGAUCCAGUAAUACUGAUUUCCGGACCAAGCUACCCCAGGGAUAACAGCGCUAUCCCCUUCAAGAGUCCCUAUCGCCAAGGGGGUUUACGACCUCGAUGUUGGAUCAGGACACCCCGGCGGUGCAGCCGCUGCCAAAGGUUCGUUUGUUCAACGAAUAACGUCCUACGUGA